CAAUGAUAUUGCUCAUCGAUCUUGAUAUAGAUCUACAAAUAACGGGAAUCAUAUAAUUAAUUAAAAAUUAAUAAUCUCAAGAAUGAUGAUUUCCUUUUCCUUUUUUUUUUCUUUCUAUAAUUAAAAAAGAAAAAAAUGCCCAUACGUGGAUUGAAAUGGUUUUUGUAGUCCACUUCUCAUAAAUGAAAAGUUAUUCACUCGGCUACUAUAGGUUGCAUCAUCAGAAUGAUUACUACGAUUACUGGCCUUAUCAACUUUUCGAUUUUUCAUGAUCACAGAAUAUGCAUGUUUCCUAUCGUAAUUAUCAUUAUCAUCAUCGUCAUAAAAAUAGUUAAAUCGAAUAUUAUAGAAAUUUAUUACAGCUUACCUGUAAACUAACAUUGAAAGUAAUACUACUGAAGCCAAUAACACUACCAGAACGCCAACUGCUGUAACUAGGCCAUAAUAUUCGUUUGGAGCUAUACAAACUGUCUCAAGAAUUGCACUUUGUUUUUCCACUUUAGUCUCCUCUUCUUCGAUAUCCAUUCUCGAAUCUAAUACCUAGAAAAAGAAAUAAAAGAAAAAAGAAGGAAAAAGUAUAAAAGAAGCAUAACUCUAUACAUAAUAAAUAUACAUCAGAAUUUUUUAAGCAAUGUUCCAUCGCGUCACAAUUAUACAAUCCCUCAUCUCAAUAUAUUAAUAUAUUGUCUACCUCAAUCAUCUCUCUGACAUGUUCUUCCUCGGUCUCCUCGUUAUCCUCUUCAUCAUUCGAUCGAGUAGUACCCAUAACAUAUGUCGAAUUUGACGUAAUCGUGACAUUAAUAUCCUUCUCGAUAAUCGUACUGGUCUCGGUUGGAUCCUCUUCCAUUAGUAUCGUAUCAUUGGUUAUAUCUCUGCGUCGUCUUCCAAAAGAUGGCUCGCUUCUUCCGCUACCGCCUGAACAAUAUGCUGGUUGACAACCAUCCCUGCAGGUUCUUACGGUUGCUUCGAAUACCAAGAAAUUCGAUUCUGGUAUUUUAAAGGCAUUGAAGCGUGCUUCUAAACUGUCACCGUCACGAAGACGAUCCAAUCCAGGAAAAACGUAAUUGUCCACCGGACAACUGAAAUAUAACAGACAAUAGAUAUUAGAUCGUAAUUUAUAUAUAUAUAUAUAUAUAUCUUACUCACCCAUAUCUAUCUAUAAGUUGUACACUUCUUCCCGAGUAAGGAUCCCUGGCUAUGACAUUGGUAGCAAAUAUGUCCGUUACAUAAUUGUAUCUAUAAGUUAAAUUGAACAAAUUAUAUCAAUUUUCAACGAUAAUGAUAAUUCGUUAAUAAAUAAUUCAUUCUUUCUCACCCUUCUUGCGCUUCCAAUCUAAAAGUAAGAGGAUCACCAACGGCUAUGGUAGUCGUAGGUCUACCUUGAUAUAAAAUUAACAGACGCACGCGAGAACUCAAAGUAUUCUCUGCUGGGAGAUAUUCGAUUGGUAUUGGAGAACCUGAUCUGUUGAAACGAACGUAUAAAAGCUUUCCAUUAGUUAAAUUAAACUUAAUAUUUGAAUAUACGAAAGGAUUAUUAUGUUUAUAUGUAUUCUGAACGUUAAUUAUCGAGGUAUCAUUAAAUGGCCUUUGAAAAGAUUAUUACAUUAUACUUGGGAUCUUUUCUCUUUUUUUUUCCUCCUUUUGUUCUGUUUUUUCUUUUUCUUUUUUUCUCUCUCUCUCUCUCUCUCUCUCUCUCUUUUUUUUCUUCUUAAGAAAAAAGAAGAAAAAGAAACUAUUAUAUCGAAGGUAUGUUACUCAGAUAAUGGAUCUGUAAAAUUCCUGGAACGUGUUUAUAAUCGCGAUGAUAACCUUCUUAUAUAAUACUAAUCUAAGACAAUGUGCAUUGCAUUAAUCCAUAACACGAAUUAGAUAAUCCAUUUGCUAUUUCCUGUGCAAUAGACGAUCUUCCGAUCGAUAUGACCUGGCAUACCCGGCACCGAUGUAGCCGGACGUGACGACAGCUUCACCAGGGCCUCGAAAUAGACAGGAUAACCUUGAGGUCCACUGAUUCGUAGUACGUUAACUGUACCACCGUUACCACGGAAGAAACAUCGAUCGUAAUAGCCGUGCAGCGUAAGGACGAUAAUUGAAGGAUCUGCAUACGAAAUCCCUAGCAUCCGCACAUUCUCUCUCACAUUGUGCUAAGGAUGAAGCUGUUGUAUAUCUUCUAACGAAGGGUUUUCGUACUCUUGUGUGCGGUCCAACUUGUCGGAAAUUAUCCUGUUCGUCGCAUCUUGAGAUUAAAGGUGGCCGACCUAUUAUAGGGCCUCCACUUGUACCAAAUGGUCUGGUAUUGUAAACUCCACCUUCUCCUAUGUAACCACCACCGAUUAUACCACCAGAAUCGCUACCAUAUCCAUUGUAUCCACCUGGACGUGUUGAUCCAUAAUGUGGACGUUCGACUGGAUGAUUUUGAGGACCUCGUACGUCAUCAAUAAAUCCAUGCGCAUAAA